AGAGUAGGCGCAGGCGGUUGCAGAUCAGUUACAGUGACUGGUUUGAGGAAAGUCCGGGCUCCCCAAAGACCAAACUUGCUGGAUAACCCCCAGUGCGAGCGAUCGCGAGGAUAGUGCCACAGAAAGAUACCGCCUUUUUUUUAAAGGUAAGGGUGCAAAGGUGCGGUAAGAGCGCACCAGCACAACCGAGAGGUUGUGGCUCGGUAAACCCCGGUUGGGAGCAAGGCGAAAGGAAACUAAGGUUGGUCUUUUACCAGUUUCCAAUGAUUAGAGCCGCUCGAGGCGUUUGGUAACAAGCGUCCCAGAUAGAUAACUGCCCUCAAAGGUGUUUUUUAACAGUCGGCGAGAACAGAACCCGGCUUAUGUCCGACUCUCUCC
rnacentral:RNase_P_RNA from 2 species